rnacentral:rRNA from 1 species
AGUGAACGCUGGCGGCAGGCCUAACACAUGCAAGUCGAACGGCAGCACAGGGGAGCUUGCUCCCUGGGUGGCGAGUGGCGGACGGGUGAGGAAUACAUCGGAAUCUACCCUUUCGUGGGGGAUAACGUAGGGAAACUUACGCUAAUACCGCAUACGAUCUGAGGAUGAAAGCAGGGGACCGCAAGGCCUUGCGCGAUUGGAUGAGCCGAUGUCCGAGUAGCUAGUUGGCGGGGUAAAGGCCCACCAAGGCGACGAUCGGUGGCUGGUCUGAGAGGAUGAUCAGCCACACUGGAACUGAGGCACGGUCCAGACUACGACGGGAGGCAGCAGUGGGGAAUAUUGGACAAUGGGCGCAAGCCUGAUCCAGCCAUGCCGCGUGUGUGAAGAAGGCCUUCGGGUUGUAAAGCACUUUUGUUGGGAAAGAAAUCCAGUCGGCUAAUACCCGGCGGGGAUGACGGUACCCAAAGAAUAAGCACCGGCUAACUUCGUGCCAGCCGCCGCGGUAAAAC